CAUAACCAUAGAAAUAACUUCGGUAGAAAAGGACAAGCCAACUCGUAAUGGUGUUUCCAAGUAUAGCAUGUUUGCUUCUGGAACAUAAUCAGUCGUUAGGCUAUCUUUUCAAACACCCAUUUGACAGAAAAAGAAGAGAGAAAGGGGAUGAACACUAAACCCUUAGGUAACACAAUCAAUUAAAAUGACGGGGAUGAGCACUUGUAAGCUACCUGCUAACAGCAAACCACACUCUAUAGGGCGCAGUAAUGUUUAACCCUUACUCUUUCGAUAGUCACCAACCAGCUAGUAUCCUACUUUUGGUCAAUGGCAUAAUAAUCUUGAUCCCUACUGCAUUUUGAAAGUGAUUGGUAAAAUAAUUUGCAAAACAAUUUUAUUUCUUUUAUCAAAACAUGUAAACCAAAACCUGAAUUCCAGCUUUAACAAGUGAACCAU
rnacentral:lncRNA from 1 species